CAUUUUGAGCUGUAUAUGUAAACAUUGGCGACAGACACGUUAGUGCAAGUGUCAUGUGCAAAUUCCAGAUAAGUAUGUGAAAAUGUGUACCCACCACACAUCCUUUCUCCCCUUUCAGGGACAAGAAUGCAGAAGUAUGAUGGUGAUCCAAGUCUGAGUGUGCAGUUGAUGGGCGUCCACUCAAGACUGACGCGUCAUACAUGAUGGACUCUGAAGGUGGCAUACUGUUUCUCCUCUGACCAAUGUGGGUGUUUACCAAAGGUGAACAACAUCCAAGAACUAUCCUCAUUGCCUACAUGGAGUCAGAUGCCAGCAGUGGCCUUGGCCAUACAACCUUGAUCCUGUCUUUUAAAAGCCUAAUUGAUGAUCAAGGG
rnacentral:lncRNA from 1 species